UUAGCUUGAGUUCUUUUCCUGAGGAAAAGCUCAAAGGCUCCAUGAUGGGGGCAGGGGUGGAGAGAUUGACCUCAGUCUUCAGGAAGUCAGAGCUCCCUUCAGCUAUGGAUAAACGGAGACUCAGAUGGAAGAAGAAGCUGAGGUUUCUGGGUUCUGAGGCAUUAGCUACCAAGCUCUCCACCUCUCCGCUAGCAAGAGUCAGACAAGAGUCUACUGGAGCUGCUGCUCCCAGCCCAGCCCGGUUCUGUCACUGUAGCAACAUGGCUACAAGUAGCACGCAUCACCUCCUAAUCCCACUUUUCUAGAGUUCCUCAAAGAUACCGACUCUGGCUGCCAUUGUGUGACAGGGAUGUUGGGGGUGAGCACCACUAACAGAGAGUCCUGGGCUCCUUGUAACACUGGCUCAUAGCUCUGGGAAGCCUGGUAAGAGAGCCUUGUGAAGAUCCAGGAUGGGGCUCAGCAGAUAACAUCCUCUAUGGAGUAUAACAGCUUACCAAGAGGAUGUUCACAAACCCAGUCUACCAGUUAAUGUGUAACAUUCAGUGUGCUGGGGACAAUCAGAGCUUCUGGGACCAUCAUCACAGUUAGUUCUAGAGUCCUGUCACUACCUCAGGGGAACUUCAGUUGUGACAAUUGCCAGGCCAUUCCCAGUCCCCAGGUGACUCUCCAAUGUACUGUCUGUCUCUAGGGAUCAGGCCCCAUCGGGACAGUACUUAUUGUGUCUGCCUUCUUUCUCAGUGUAGUUUUGAGCUUCCUCUAAGUCACAGCUUUUGUUGUGGAUGAACCGUAGUCCAUCAUAUGGUUGGAACACAUGUACUCCAGAGCAGCUGUGGCCCUGCUGACCAUGGUCUCUUCAUCUGGGAUGGAGGAGCAGACCCUGUGUUGGGACAACACCAGAUCCAAUCAAGCUUGUGCUCACAGUUUCCCUAGGGCCCCGGGAACCCCAGCUCCUGUGUAGUCUCUUUCUUUGUUUUAGGGAAUGCUGAGUCUGAGUUCACCCAGUCCAUAUUCCAUAUGGAGGUGGGGAAUCUCCCAACCCUUCCUCCCAGCCAGGAGGAAAAGGCCAAUGUUUACUCGAUCAUACAGCAGUAUGUUCAAAGCCAGAUUAGAACACAAGUCCCUGAGCCAUGUGUGGCUAGUGCUGUCCUCUGACUUCUCCAAGCUCCUGACUCUCCUUCUAGGAUUCAAGUACUAGAGUAAGCCAGAAGCUCCGAGGCCAGGUCUCUUCUGUGUCCCCAGCAUGGUUUCCUGGGCUUCCCCAGUGUCCUAUGCCCCGAUCUUUCUCUCUUCCCUUGCCUUGAGGGUGACCACAUGAAGAUGGCCCUGGGCUUUGCCAGGCAGAAGUGGAAUACCUAGCCUUCUUAAGUCGCGGUGCACAAGGAGGAGGACUCCCCUCAAGCUCCAUGCCAUCCCACAAGGCCCCUUCUGGACUCAGCCAGGAUGUCUCCAAAGCUCCUCCCCCACUAUCACCCUUUUCUGAAGAUCACAGUUUCCUGAGCCAGCUCUAGUCUGGACAAUGGCCGGAAAUUCCUGGCUCAGGCUUCAGGGUCAAGCACGUGUGGUCCAGGAGCUGUGGGGGACUGAAAUGGCCAUUGUUUCAACCUCACAAGCCACUGACAGACAGAGCCCAAGUCACAGCCCAGCAAGGCCUUUGGACUAACCAGCUGUUCCUGCCCUGUCUGUGGAGAGGCUGUGGUGGAAGAUGCAGCAGCUUCCUACUAAGAGAAGCCCCCCAGCCUGUGUCCAGGAGGUGGCUGCAAAGGGCUACUCAGAACAGGGACUGCUUGUUUCUGUCUUCUUUUUAAAUAAAAAUUAG